UGGGGUUAAAAGACAACAAAUGAUGGGCCAGGCUUUAGAAUAAGUCCGACCUGGCACCAAAUCCAGGCUCUACCACUGGCCAUCUACAAGAUAAACCUCUCGGGUCUUACUGUCUUUAUGUGUAAAAUAGGUAUGCAAAGUACCUGGUACAUGGAAGCACUCAGUAAAUGGCGGUAAUUACAAUAGUAAACUUGCUGUGUGCCCUGUGCAGGUAACUGCCCCUCUUUUAACCUCAGUUUCCUACUCUGAAGAUGGGGAUAAACAUCCUGAAUCCAAGCCAGGCAUGCUGGCUCAUGCCUGUAAUCCCAGCACUUUGGGAGGCCGAGGCAGGUGGAUUACCUGAGGGCAGGAGUUUGACAUCAGCCUGGCCAAUGUGGUGAAACCCUGUCUCUACUAAAAAUACAAAAAUUAGCUGGGCAUGGUGGUGCACACCUGUAAUCCCAGCUACUUGGGAGGCUAAGACAGGAGAAUCGCUUGAACCCAGGAGGCGGAAGUUGCAGUGAGCUGAGAU
rnacentral:lncRNA from 1 species